GUGCUCACAUUAGCACCACACGUACUAAAAUUAAAUGGUAUGGAAAGGGCAGCAUGCCCCUACACAAGGAUGAUGUGCAAAUUUGUGAAGAGUACCAUAUUUUU